GAUUCUGGCUCAGGAUUAACGCUGGCGGCGCACAUAAGACAUGCAAGUCGAACGGACUUAAUCGAUUCUUUUAGAUUCGAAGCGGUUAGUGGCGGACUGGUGAGUAACACGUAAGGAACCUGCCUAUUAGAGGGGGAAUAACAACGAGAAAUCGUUGCUAAUACCGCAUAAGCUAGUAGUACCGCAUGGUACAGCUAGAAAAGGAGAAAUCCGCUAAUAGAUGGCCUUGCGUCCGAUUAGCUAGUUGGUGGGG
rnacentral:rRNA from 1 species